rnacentral:misc_RNA from 1 species
GAUGAAGAACGUAGCGAAAUGCGAUAAGUAGUGUGAAUUGCAGAAUUCAGUGAAUCAUCGAGUCUUUGAACGCACAUUGCGCCCCCUGGCAUUCCGGGGGGCAUGCCUGUCCGAGCGUCAUUGCUGCCCAUCAAGCCCGGCUUGUGUGUUGGGUCGUCGUCCCCCCCGGGGGACGGGCCCGAAAGGCAGCGGCGGCACCGUGUCCGGUCCUCGAGCGUAUGGGGCUUUGUCACCCGCUCGAUUAGGGCCGGCCGGGCGCCAGCCGACGUCUCCAACCAUUUUUUUCAGGUUGACCUCGGAUCAGGUAGGGAUACCCGCUGAACUUAAGCAUAUCAAUAAGCGGAGGA